rnacentral:tRNA from 1 species
AAUGAUGUGCCUGAUUAAAGGAUUAUCUUGAUAGGAUAAAUCAAAUACUUCUCGUAGUAUCAUCAUUA